rnacentral:rRNA from 1 species
GUCUAAGCGUUUAGGGAGUUAGAGGAGGCAAAUCCACUCUAACAUAUCCUGAGGCGUGAUGGGGAAGGUUCUACGGAACCGAAGUGCUUGAUUCUAUGCUUCCAAGAAAAGCAUCUAGAGAGAGAAGUAGUGCCCGUACCGCAAACCGACACAGGUAGGUGAGGAGAGAAUCCUAAGGCCGGCGGAAGAAUUGCAGUUAAGGAACUAGGCAAAUUGACCCCGUAACUUCGGGAGAAGGGGUGCCUACGAGAGUAGGCCGCAGAGAAUAGGCACAAGCAACUGUUUAGCAAAAACACAGGUCUCUGCUAAAGCGAAAGCUGAUGUAUAGGGGCUGACGCCUGCCCGGUGCUGGAAGGUUAAGGGGAAUACUUAGCGCAAGCGAAGGUAUGAACUUAAGCCCCAGUAAACGGCGG